rnacentral:rRNA from 1 species
CAGCCGCCGCGGGAAUACGAAGGGUGCAAGCGUUACUCGGAAUUACUGGGCGUAAAGCGUGCGUAGGUGGUGGUUUAAGUCCGUUGUGAAAGCCCUGGGCUCAACCUGGGAAUUGCAGUGGAUACUGGGUCACUAGAGUGUGGUAGAGGAUAGUGGAAUUUCCGGUGUAGCAGUGAAAUGCGUAGAGAUCGGAAGGAACAUCUGUGGCGAAGGCGACUAUCUGGGCCAACACUGACACUGAGGCACGAAAGCAUGGGGAGCAAACAGGAUUAGAUACCCCCGUAGUCCCUGUCUCUUAUAC